CGUAGAGGAGCAGCAGAGUGUCUGUGGUAGGAAAACUAAAAGAGAUGUCUGUCUUCUGCUCUUACAGUAAAUAGCUUUUAUAUACACGGGUAGAAAAAAGAAACAGUAGCUUAGCCUGGCUGUGAAAGCUGUCUCGUCUAGACGUGGUAAACGGGCUACAUUUGAAGUGUUGCCAAAUAAAAGAUGAGUUGUUACUCAAAGGCCUCUUCGCUCUCUUUAUCUCCCCUCAGUCUCUCUCCCCUCUGAAGUUUCUACCUUUCGUUGCUGAUGGCACCUGUUUUUAGAAGGACAAGCAAAAAAGUUACAAUGAAAGAAAUAUUCCUCCAGAGGGGUUUGCAUCCUUCAAUAAACGGAGCUUUUGGUCAGCUGAAUCAUGAAUGUAUAAUAUGAGUUGAAUAAGGUCAGUUAGCAGAAGAAAUCUGCAAACAUUUACACUUUUUAUUCUCCUGUUGUUUUGCUUCUUUCCUGCUUUACUUUAUAUACUUCAACUGCAAAUUUUCAUAAAACUUUAAUGACUCCAUAAUGAAGGUUUGGGAACAUUAAUUGCUUAUGAGUAAUUGAUAUAAUUAGAGGCUUUAAUUUCCAACUAAAACCAAAAGAGAGAGUUCUUCAUCAGGCCUAUAAGAGGAGGAAAAGGACAGAUGUUGGCCUGUUUUAUCAAAUUAUUAAUGUUGUUUUUAUUAUUCAUUUAAUUAAGAUUUGUUCUUUAAUUUGAUUUCACUUGAGCUCAGAUCAACUCCUGUCAUUUUCAUUUGCUGUAAAUGUUACAUUUAUAAUAUUACUGUUUCUAAAUGACUCUGAGUUUAUUGUUUCAGUGAACAGUCACAAUGCGAGCCGGAUAGGUCCCUUUGUAACCAUUUGGGUCAAAGGUGCCUGAUUAAAAGAGGUAAACCAAAAGUUCUUCUGUUAGUUUUGUGUGUCUGACGAAAUUACAGAAUCAGUCACUGCAAAAACUGGCCUUUUUAUUUAGGAGAGGUCAUUUUUUAUUUAUUUAUAUAUUUUUUUUAAUCAUUUUUGGAGCGAUUCUUGCCUUUUAUUGACAGUACAGAGUGAAAUGUGGGGAGACAGAGAGUUGUGAGGACGAACUCGAACCCGUGACUGCUGCUGGGUCGCAGGUUCAUACAUGGGGCAUGCUAACCUGCUCGGCUGUCUGCGUGCCCCAAGAGAGAUCAAUUUUAUUUAACUAAAAACGUCUAUGUCACGUUUUUUCCCCCUCAAAUCCACCAUCUAUCAUUAAGUAAAGCUGUAUCUGUGAGAGAGACAAAAACUCAUAUCUGUGCCUGUCCAUGAUAUCCACAUUCAAACAAGACCAUCACCAAAAAGACAGAUGUCUUUAACAUCCCAAUUUUUAAUGCCUAAAAUUAUUGCAAGAGGAAGGUGUCAUCAGAACAGCUGAGUUUGGACAGUGGACUAAAUCGACAGAGGCUGUUUUAUCCAAAAUGGACAGGAAUGUGGGGUUCCUCAAAAGAGCUUCAAACAAAACAGCAAAGACUUGAUUUAUUUUAACUAGAAUGGGGCUAAACAAUUAAAUUAUCUGCUGUGUGGCCUUGGCUUACAGGUUGUCAUGCACUGUGUGAUGUUUUUACUUGAAAUCACAUAUUCUCCUUCAGAAAUUCACCAUUUGAUAUAAUAUUAAAAUCCUGAAAUUAAAAAAAGGGAAGCUGUGGAAAAAUGUGAUAAAAAUAGAUUUUGAUGACUCAUCAACCAAUAAACUAAUUAUUAUUAUUACAUUUUUUUAAUUAUUUGACUGUAUAUGUUGCCCAUGCUGUAGGACGGAUUCCUCAUUGUAAAUGGUAAAAUUUGUAUCACAGAAAUGACAGAAAUGAGCCCCAUCAAGUUGAGAGUGCUCAGUGCAGUUAUGCGCAGCGGAGAGUGAAGAUACAGACAACCAGUGUUGCCAGAUGGGACAGAUACACUCACCGGCCACUUAAUUAGGUACACCUGUCCAACUGCUCGUUAACACUUAAUUUCUAAUCAGCCAAUCACAUGGCGGCAAGUUAGUGCAUUUAGGCAUGUAGACAUGAGUAUUUCAGAAACUGCUGAUCUACUGGGAUUUUCACGCACAACCAUCUCUAGGGUUUACAGAGAAUGGUCCGAAAAAGAAAAAAUAUCCAGUGAGCGGCAGUUCUGUGGGUGGAAAUGCCUUGUUGAUGCCAGAGGUCAGAGGAGAAUGGCCAGACUGGUUCGAGCUGAUAGAAAGGCAACAGUGACUCAAAUAACCACCCGUUACAACCAAGGUAGGCAGAAGAGCAUCUCUGAACGCACAGUACGUCGAACUUUGAGGCAGAUGGGCUACAGCAGCAGAAGACCACGCCGGGUGCCACUCCUUUCAGCUAAGAACAGGAAACUGAGGCUACAAUUUGCACAAGCUCAUCGAAAUUGGACAAUAGAAGAUUGGAAAAACGUUGCCUGGUCUGAUGAGUCUCGAUUUCUGCUGCGACAUUCGGAUGGUAGGGUCAGAAUUUGGCGUCAACAACAUGAAAGCAUGGAUCCAUCCUGCCUUGUAUCAACGGUUCAGGCUGGUGGUGGUGGUGUCAUGGUGUGGGGAAUAUUUUCUUGGCACUCUUUGGGCCCCUUGGUACCAAUUGAGCAUCGUUGCAACGCCACAGCCUACCUGAGUAUUGUUGCUGACCAUGUCCAUCCCUUUAUGACCACAAUGUACCCAACUUCUGAUGGCUACUUUCAGCAGGAUAAUGCGCCAUGUCAUAAAGCUGGAAUCAUCUCAGACUGGUUUCUUGAACAUGAUAAUGAGUUCACUGUACUCAAAUGGCCUCCACAGUCACCAGAUCUCAAUCCAAUAGAGCAUCUUUGGGAUGUGGUGGAACGGGAGAUUCGCAUCAUGGAUGUGCAGCUGACAAAUCUGCGGCAACUGUGUGAUGCCAUCAUGUCAAUAUGGACCAAGCUCUCUGAGGAAUGCUUCCAGCACCUUGUUGAAUCUAUGCCAUGAAGAAUUGAGGCAGUUCUGAAGGCAAAAGGGGGUCCAACCCGUUACUAGCAUGGUGUACCUAAUAAAGUGGCCGGUGAGUGUAGAAUCAUCGUACCAGAGACUCAAAAUUGUCAUAUUUUGGGGAACACCUGUCAUGAUCAAAAUAACAAUCUUAAUGUUGCACGAUAGUCACAUAUAGUUAUUCUGUUUAGCGUCCUUCAAGCACUCUGAUUUCAUGAUUGACAGCUGAUCACUCAAACUACGAUUGGAUGGAAACAUCACGUGGUAAAAAGAUGCCUUUAAUGUUCGCAAAUAAAAAACUAAAAAAAUAAAGUGUGGUGGACUGAGACAGGCCCAUUGCACGUUUAUGAAACUGUCAAAUUAUUGUACAUUUAGCCUUUUUUCUGGGUGAUUGAUUGUACAUCGUACAGAGGGAAAAAUUAUCGAAUAAAUUCAAUAAUUAUGGUACAUCUGGCAACCCUGCAGACAACGUAACCUUACAAUCAGAUGCAACACUUAUAUUCUCUAAAACAGCCAACACUAAAGAGAGUCCUAUUCAACUUUCUUCCAGAGUGGCUUUUAUUUCACAAUAAAAGCAAUCUUUGAUCAAUAUAAGCUCAUAAAUUCUCCUUAUUUGAAGUAGAUGAUAAAGAAAGUCUAAAGAGAAUUUUAAAGAUCACCUAAGCUUGCUUCCAUUAUUUAAAAUGGAUUAGUUAAGGUAUCAUGCUCUCUGCUCUCUUAUGGUGCAUAUUUAAGGGAGUCUUUUCCCACAGAAUACAACUGUUGCUCUCACUUUCCUCUUUCAUGUUGAAAAGAAAGGUGUGUUUUAUUUAUCAUGUUAUAUCCCUUUAUAUGCUGUGCUGUCUUAAGACUCACACUGUCACUGCAGCUGUGUGAAACUCCUCCAGAGGACUGAACUCCUCUCUGCAGACACUGAACUGUCACGUCUGCCCCUCUGAGAGCUCGGGAGCUCUCCAUCAUUAUGCCGGCCUGGUGUGUGCUGCAUGCCAAUGUGCUGCAUGAAUACACGCAUGUGGGUAGGAAUGUUGGGACACUGUCUUUAAAAUGUGUGUGUGUUUGAGUUUGUGUGUGUAGAAAAAGUUUCCUAACAAACAAUGAACACCCAGUCAUCUCACACAACUGGAAUCUUUAACCACAGCCUUUAAUUACUGUCCUGACAGCCAACACUCAGGGUAAAAGGGAAGUUUAGCCCACAGAAACCUGUGAUUUUUACAUGAUUCAACCACCGAUCAUCCACCUCAUCAAAGCCAGACCAUUCCAGGACUCUUGAUAAUGCAGCUUCCUCCCCACAGGAGUGCAGGCGAGCUGACCUGAGAGGCUGAGAGAUGAAUGAGGAGUCUGGUCAGACGCAUUCCUGCACAGCCACCAGACUCUCCACCCUGUGGGCUGCAGGGAGGCCUUCAGCUCUCAUUCCUCAGCUCUUCCUCUGUGUUUCCGGUAACUAACUGUGCACAUGGUCAGACCUUUGCAUGCAACAUAUUUUGUAUUUGGUAUAAAAAAACGAUACAAUGAUAACAAUUAGAGGAAAUUAGCUAGUUAUAGUCCUGCAAACAAUAUUCGUACGGUUGCAUUUUCCUGUUAAGUCACGCAAUGAGUUAGAAGCUCAUCUUAUGUAAUAAUGUCAUAUUGGUUUAAACUAUGUUGUUACUGCAACAAAUUAUCCAUUAUUAGGGCCUGAGCCGACACUGCAAGCAGCGGGCAAUUUUUCCCGUACAUGAAUUUUUUUUUUUUUUGUUGGAUGGUAGGGGAAGGUCCUGCCCUCCUUCGCCUCUGAUUGGCUAGAAGUGCUGGGCUCCAAUUGGUUAUUCCUUAUGGCUGUGAAACGUCAUUGUCUGUCAGGUUAGGGUUAGGGUUAGGAUUAGGAUUAGGAUUAGGAUGAGGGUUAGGAUUAGGAGACUCCGAAGUGUGAUAAUGUUCUCUAAUGUUCUGUUCGAUGUACUGAGCCGACAGCCUGCGUUUGGCUUGAGCAUGUGAUGACGUUUCCAGCUUUUCUAGCCAAUCAUAGGUGAAGGAGGCGGGACUUUCCCAUACCAUCCUCCGAAAAAAAAAAAAAAACACUUCCAUACACUGGUUCCAUCACCACAAGAUUUUAGUCAUUUGAUAACGGUCCAACACUGGACAAUUUAACACCAAACUUAUAUCCGUGUGUUAUAGCGCCAACUGGUGGCAGAGGGGAAUGCAUUUUUUGUUCAAUCGCCUGUAACACCUUUUCUAUGAGGGGAGGCAGCUGAGAUUUGUUCAGGACACACCUGAUGGGGUACCAGAUAAGCUAGAAAAUCAGCACCUUGUUUUGUUAAACUGCGACUAGGUAAGGCAACAUAACGCCCCCUACAAAAUUUCAAAACUUAAGUCUCACUGCUGUAUGUGACCCAAACCUAUGGAACAAAGGACACUUAUGUUGGACCCCAAGACAAAUAUGGUUUCAGAUAAAAGGGAUCCCUUUGUCCACAUGGGGCACCAAAAUCAACACAAACCAAAAGUUCCUCAGAGUAGCUCUAAAGCUAAAAUUUUCAAAACAACUCAAAUUUUUGUUUCGGCAUUUAAUAUGUUGCCUUUGCACUGUUUUCAAUUUUAAAAAAGGCUUUUAAACUCUAGAUUUGAUGAACAUAAAGUAAUACAGUAAUGGCAGUAAAAUUGACGUGUUUUUUGCAGUCAACUUAAAGCCUAUCUGGAGGUAAAAUUUUUCUUAAUACAUGGAAAAUUUGAGUGUGACAUUCCCUCUCAAAAACUAUGGCUCACCAACUCUCAGCAGAUUGAAGAAAUUUCACCUCAGAGAGGAGCCUGCUUUGCCCCAGAUGAAUGUAUAAUGACUCUUUUCAACACAGCUGCACAGAGAUGCUUUUUGCUCCACAGCACUAUUUGUUAAAAAUGUCUUCUGGCAUACUUGCACAUGUCUAGUGAGCGCAAAAAGUACGCAAUUUUGUGUAUUUGAAAAAUACUUUGCAGGAAUAUGAAUUAGUGUAUCUCAAUAAAGUGUUUGUAACUUUAUACUAUAGCGUAAGAGCUUUUUAUACUGUUAUACUACUUUGAUUAUAAGACUGAAACUGCUUUUUCAAGAGCCUCACAGUUGCAGAUGACGAGCAGCUUUUCAUAACUGACAGCAAGGUUUGUACAGAGGCUAAACCUACAAAGUCGUAGUGUAAGGUCUUUGAAUAAGUCUGAAUUUUACAGAAUUAUUCCUCAGAACUUGCUUCUAUUUCUAAAGCUCCAGAUAAAAACCAGACUGCUUUGAAAAACUAAAAAGUCUAAACUUCCAAAAAGCAAUCAAACAAACUGACUUUGUUGUCCUUGUACAAAGAAAAGAUCCCAAACUAAAACCUCUGACUCCUCCACUGAAAUAAACAAGGUGAGGCGAGAAUGUGAGUCUGACUAAUAAGAGACUAGAACAACAGACAGCAGACGGGAGAAAAUCAUCACCACCCGUAAGAGAAGCAUGUAGCAGGUCAGAAAAAACAGCAUGAAUAAUGGAGACAGAGGGAGUGAAAACUUUUAAACACUGCCUUAGCAACUCAUUUAACCAUGAUUACUGAUUGCAGGAGUUGGCUGAUAAUCAUCAUCUAUUCAAUCACCUACUUGAUGCUAAAAUUUAAAUACCUUUAAACUUGCAGAAAAAUCACCGCUGCGUAAUCACUUGAUACAUUUUCAGGCUUCUUUGAACAGCUUGUUUUAAGAACCUGAUGUCAUGCUCUGCCGUCCUAUUAGGACAAAGUUGUGGGAUAUAUCCACUAGUGUUGUGUCGUUCGCGAAUGAUUCGUUCAAAAUGAACUGAAUCUUUUAAGUGAACAUACUUAACUGGAUCACUUCGUCAAGUGAUUCGUUCAUUUCUCACUUAAGUUGAGCUGUUAGCAGUGCAGCUACCAUAGCAUACAGCAUUGCUGGGUGAGAAGCUGGCGAGCGAGGGACUGCAAGGGCUGAUGCCUCAAUCACUUGGUGAACGAAUCACGCAGUGAACUACACUCUCUGGAAUUAUUUUUGCCUGAGGGAUACACUUUCAUGGCCAUUGUUCUAACAGAUUUAGUAGGAUACAGCAUGUAACAAGUGGUGUAAAAAAACCCGCAGUUUGAGAAAUGCAUGACCGAUCCUAUCAUUGUGGCUUUUUGCGAGGGAACGGUGCAUGUUCAGUGUGAAUUCUUCACUGAGUGUACAGUGGGGUAAACAUGAACCCAAUUUACCAAGUAGACAAAUAGCAUAUCAUUGGACGGUACACUUAAAACCUCAUGAUUGGUAAACAAGUUCAUUUUUACAAACCUGUUUGUCAAAGCAACACAGCCACAACACUCUUGUCUCCCGGUCUCAGAAGCUAUGAUCUGAACUGAAUCCUGAACCAUUCAGCUGUGUAUCAGAUCAGGAAGUUGAGUCAAACGAACAAAAGAAUCUUUUGAACAAAUCUUUUUAGUGAGCUGAUUCUAGUGAUUCAGUACAUCUAAAAGAACUGCCGUGUCCAUCACUAAUAUCCACCUGGAAGCAAUUUCAACUUGUUUUCAAGUGGAUUCGCUCAACCUUUGCAUCUCAACUGUUCUGGAAACCUGGGGUUAUUAUAGCUACAAAGUCCUUCAAUGACGGCCUAGGACAACAACGUUUUUGUAUAAGUAUAACAGCAGUAAACUUAAUAUCUAACAUAUUAUGGGAAGCUAAUGUGUGUGGUUCCUUAAGAGUUCUCACAUAUCCUUUCAAAAUUCCCCCAGAAUACUGGUGCUAAAAGAAACCAAUCUUGUUGCAGAUUAUCUUAUUUUGCUAUGUAGGUCAUGAAGAAGCAUCAGUAAGCAGUGAAAAACUCCUCACAGUGCCUUUAAUAAAGCGAGUGUUGUGGCAUAAAUAACAACCAUCUUGUCGGGAUCACUGUCAGUGGGGUUUGAUGAACAACAGCCGCACUGACAGACGAUCAAUACAGAGCAUUUGAAAAAAGUUAAAAUGUAGUAACUUGAGGUUUCGCUUUGAGUCUCUCAGCAUGAGGAGGCAAGGGCAAAAGAAAAGAAGAGAGACAGAUGCUGCUUUUUCAAGAAGAGGAGGUAUGGGAAAUUUACCACAAGCCGCCAUAGCUCCUGAUUGACACAACCCCAAACCUCUGAGUACAAGCUGCCGACACAAGUCUCAUAGUUGAACGAUGAUGCCGGGCUACAUGGAGUCACCUUUAUUGACUGGUAAAUGUGCGAGCUAUACAGGCUGAUUGAAUUCAGACCAGACGGUUUUCUAGAAAAGAAUUUUAAAUAAGGAUGUAACCCAUAUUUAUUAUAUACAGUAAUUUUUAACAUCGUGUUGAUUGGGCAUUUCAAUGGAUGCAAUUGAGUGCACUGUACGAUUUUCUAUUCAAAUAAAUGCUCCACCAGUGUGAUCUAAAACAUGACUCAGAGGGUCCAAUCACUGUCAAUAUAUUAUCUGGUGUCGGGUGAUCCUUGUUUAAUGUGGGACUUUUUACACAUAACUUCAGAGAUUCCAGUUUGUUGUAUCCACUCUCUGAAACAGCUGAGGUUUCUGUGACACAGAUCUGAUUCACUGCACCUAUAUGCUUGGCUCAUAAGUGAUAGCUCAAUAUCAGAACUUGGUAAUAUUUAUUUUUGUUUGGCAAAAAGUGCAAAUUACGUCUGACAUUCCUUAUACGUUUUAUUGCACAAUGACAACUCAACCUGUCAACAACAUUUUUAAUUUCUAAAGUUUGAGAUUUAAUGCUCUACUUGUGACAAAAUGCUAUUAAACCAUGAAGUUUUCUCUGGGAUAAACUGAGAUUUGUAUUCUAGCUCAAUCAUGCUCAUGUAGACUGAGAUAUUUUCACCACAUAAUACUAUUUUAUUGCGCACUAUUACCAUUCCUUAUGCGUUUUAUUGCACAAUGACAAGUCAACCUGUCAACAUUUUUAAUUUGUAAAGUUUGAGAUUCUAAUGCUCUACUUCUGACAAAAUGCUAUCAAAACAAGGGCCAGAAUUUUAUACGUAAGCAUAAAUAUGUGUCAGUUCAUUUCCAGAUUCCAGUUUGUUGUAUCCACACUCUAAAAUAGCUGAGGUUUCUUUGACACAGAUCUGAUUCGCUGCACCUGUAUGCUUGGCUCAUAAGUGGUAGCUUAAACUCAGAACUUGGUAAUAUUUAUUUUUGUUUGACAAAAAGGACAAAUUACGUCUGACUUGCCAACAGAACUAGCUGAAAGCUGCUGUAACGGUCCCUGUGGAGACACAAGUAUUGACUAGACUGACUGCAAUACUUUCUCUUCCUGUGGGAAUAAAGGAUGACAAUGGAUUAGAUUACACUAAGAAUUGCUUAUCAUUUGCUUCUCCUAUCUGCUCUGUCCGAAGGUCUAAUGCAAAAAUUCAAAACCCUUUUGAACCUUAUGUGUUUUUACCUGUUUGCUACCAGUGCAUGAAUGGUUGAAUGCAUGGAUGGGCAGAAAUGUUGAGACAGACAGACCUAUUGGCUCCCAUAGAGGGAAACUGUGGCGUUACAGCAAUAAUUAUCUGAAAAAACAUCACCUUGGAGGGAUAAGUGCAUUGUAAAAACAUCCUAGCUAAAUGUAGAAAUGUAUACAUCUAGAAACUCUCCCCCCAGCAGUGUUGAUAUAAAUACUUACAUAUGUGAAAUUACAAGGGUGUAUUGGAGGUAAUGGUCAAAUACAGUGUUCAAUAUUAUCCCUAAAUGUCCACACUGCACCGAUUCCUUUGUUUGCUUUAACGAUUGACGUCAUAGAUAUUUCAGCUAGAUUGUUACAUAUAUGUUAUAUUUCCCGUAAUUUCUAAGUUAUUUCUUUUCACAGUGCAAAAUGUGGUUGCUAGGAGAUUUAUGACACAAUCGUGUGGCUGUUAUAGAUGAAAUAAAAACAAGACUCACCCUCAUGAUCAAUUAGUUUGGCCUAACAAUAGUCUGUUAACUGACACCAUCACAGGCUGCAGCGAGGUUUACAGACUGUGAAUGUGUCUGUGUAUCCUGCCCUCAUUAACAUUCAUGAGCCGAGUGGAAGAAGUUUAAGAUAUUGUGCUGCUUGUGUACACACAGAUUUUUCCUCCACAACUUUGUGUAUGUGUUGUGUGUUCCUGCUCACCCGAGGGACAUUACAGCAGUAUCUCAUUUCACAUGAAAAGGCCCGGGCUCGCGGGAAACUGUUUGUACGGGAGAGCACUGCCUCCAUCGUGCGUCUCCAACCCUCCCCGACUCCCCCCCACAUCCCUCUCCCUAAAAAAUAAAAAAGAAUUUUUGAUUACAGUAACAAGCCCAUAAAUUAUGCAGCAGGAGUUGAGGAUGAUGAGCUGAUGAAAGACAGCCCCUUUUAACCUUUUUCCUGGCAGAGGCAGAAUCACCCUCCCUUUUUUUGCUAGGCCACAUGCAGAGAAGGAGAGUUGGAGACGGGGGUCUAGACGAUAGGGUGAUACGCUCAGGGUGGGGGGUCUGCAAGUGGGAAUACAUGGCGAAACAUGAUGGCCUUGUACAGCAUCUGUUGCUGUUACUUCCUGUGCUUGGCUCUGUUUUACCAAAGACGGGAGAUUUCAGUUGAUGUCACCAUAUUUUGUCCCAAAAACUCUUGUAUGUGUGUGUAUAUGUGUGUGUGCAUUUGUGUGUAUUUGCGUGUGAUGAGGGCAUCUGGGAAUCUGGGGAAAGCUGUUGAUGUCGGCUUCGAUCAGUGCGGCUGCCGGGAGCGUCCUGGUAGGAAACGAGCGCGCCGAUUUCAGAGUGGCUGUCUGCUAAUGUCUUCCUGUGUAACACAAUACAAACUCCCCACCCUCGUCUGCUAUCAUCGCUACAACUGCAACGCACACACUCACUGACUCAAACAUGCCUGCUGCAUUCUUGUGCAGUCACUGCAGAGAAGCAGAAAAAGACAGCAUUGAAUUUUUUCAUACGUUGGACCUCAACGUCUUACCUUAACACGAUCACCUGAUGAAUACAUUUGCUGUUUUUGUUUUGAAAUGUUACUUCAUUUAAAUUAUCAAGUCUUAUCCAACUUUUCUAUGUUACUUGAAAUACGGACAAAAGUUAUCUUGUGACGCUUAAAGGCACAAUAAGGAGUUUUCUUGUGUUGAUUAUGCUGACCUCUUCGGAUGAAAUCAGUGGUGUGUUUUUCUAGAAUGAGGGUUGCAUCUCCCAUGAGCACCAUUACCCACUAUGGUAAAGAUACGGCAAUCCCAAGAGGGAGCGGGUGCAUUUUUCUCAGGGGGCAACAACAAAACCACAAACACAUAUUCCAUACAAGGUUGAACAACAGACAGUACAGCAUUGUUUUGUAAAAAUACACAAACAAAAGGCAUUUAUCCAUUAUUCCAAACAGCAUUUUUCAUGUUGCCCCUUGUUUGUUCAUGGUUUUUAUCUUUUUCUGAUAAGUUUCCAUUUCAGUCUAAUGGGGCGCUCACACCAAGCGCGAGUAAAAUCAUCUACUUGUUUAAUUUGCGCGAAUCUAGACACGUAAUUGAAUGGUAUUUACUCGCUUAAUUCAUGUGUCAACUGUAAUUUCAACGGUAAUCCCUGCCAAUUUAACCCGACGGGAUCAAGUGACAGACAAAGGUUUUUUACAAUCUACUAGGUAAUCCGACCUCCUCUCUCACUUGCCCCCAGGCGAACUCCUUUUGAUUCCAGUUUCGGUUACUGAAGGAAAAGGUAUCAUAUAAUUCAGGGCACCCACACACCGACACAAUCAGUUUGUCCUCCAUUUUAGAUACCAGUGAACAAACGUCCAUUUUCAUUCGUCGCCCAGCAACCUUCAUGCUGAUUAGUUAUUGUAACGCAAAUAUUCGCUCAUGUUAAGAUUCGCCCAAUUCGCAUGGAGAGAGUGAUGAUUGAAAAAUGUGUCAGGGGUUAGCAAAAUAAAGCCAUAGCAUCUCAACUCACCAUUAGCCGAGCUUUCUCAGUAAACCAGCUCCCUAAAAAACAACCAUGUGCUUUCUCCUUGUCAUCUGGCUGCUGUUUAACUUUGCUGUCCAGCUGAUGAGGUCCAAGCUCUUUAACUCUCAGCCUCUCCUGCAAAGAUCUUCCCUCAAACUACAGAGUUUUCAUUGGAAUAAAAUGUGAUUUGUAUUCUGGCUCAAUCAUGCUCAUGUUGAGUAAUUGAGAUAUUAUUAUUGUGCACUAUUACCAUUUCUUAUGCCUCUUAUUGCAUAAUGACAAGUCAAUCUGUCAACCACAUUUUUAAUGUCUGAAGUUUGAGGUUUUAUGCUUUACUUGUGACAAAAAGGAAUUGAACCAGGAGUUGGAUUUUAUUCUUAAGCUUAAGUAUGUGUCAGUUCAUUUCACAUGUUCAGGCUUUAUAUAAACUUAUUAUACUAUGCAAAGACAUGGCUUAUCUGUUCUCCACACAAUUAAAUUUUAGAUUAACUAAGAAAAACUUUUUCGGUGUUUGUUGUGAGGACUGUAGUGAGAAAACUUGUGUUAAAUUGAUCUCAUAAUCUCACUCAUGUUUCCGUUGAAACAGAAAAAAAUAUCAAGAGAGAUCCACACAUGUGCAUCUACACAUGCACCCGAGGAUAUCUGGCACUGUCCCAAAUCCCAGCUCUCCCACAAAGAGCCAUUGUAGUUAGCUAUGAUAAUGAGCUCAAUAUGCCCUCCUCAGGAAUGUGUGAAAACGGCCUGUUUCACUGUAGAAAUGCCCUCUUUCCCACAGUCUUAAAGAGGCAGCGGCCCCUCUUGAACAUGACUGGCUUACUAAUGUCUUUGUGCCUCUCAACAGGGCCGACGUUUGGCGGGUAGGCAGGCGGGCGGGCCAGUGUGAGAGGGCACCCUGGCUGCCGCCCAAAACCUACAACAGCCAUAUGCAGAGGAGGUGGAGGAGCAUCUCCCGAGUGCCCGAAGGUUAACUGCGGAGCAGCGGGGCUGUGAGCUCUGAUUAGUGAUUAGUGAAUGAGGGAGCAGGCGUCAGCCGCAGAAAAGCUCUUGGAGAUAUGAGCCAAGAUAGUUACGAAGGAGAAUGUGCCAAGAUGAAAACGC